UCGAAAAAAAAAACUUAAAACUCUCUCAACUCUCUCUUACCCCUCCAAGUUCGGCUUUGGGCUCCAGCCGUCACCGGCGACGGCGCCGCCGUCCGCGGUGGCUGGAAAAUCGAAAGAAUGCCAUUUUUUGGCUUUUCGACUCUCCGAGCCUAAAUAAUAUCGUUUUUCAUCAGAAACGACGAACCUCGGCCUCCCACGGCGGGGCAAAUGCAAGAAAAGGUAAGAUUCGACUCUUUUCUUUUCUUUUCUUUGUUUUCUUCUUUAAAAUGAAAGCAAAUGUGAGGCAAAAAGAAAAAUAAAAACAAAAAUAGAAAGGCAACCUUUUGGAACCUUUUUCUUUGAUUGAUUUCUCAGUUUUUGUAUUUCAAUCUCUGUAAAAAAAACAACAACUUAUUUGUGGUGGCUUGUUAUAGCCGAAAAAAAGAAAAAAAAAAUUGUUACUGUUUUUCUCCUUUUUUGCCUCUAUUUGUCCUCAUUUUUUCUUAUUCGCAGGUACGGAAGCCAGUUGUGGAGGUACGGAGGUUGACGUGGCGGUGGUGGCGCGCGAUGGGCAUACUGACAUGCGGCGUUGGAGGCUAGGUUUCUAUCUCUUUUUUCUUUUGCUGAAAAUGUUUAGUUUUUGGGCCAUAUUGGGCCACUAGGAUUUUUUUAUGUUUUGGGCUGGUCUUGUUAAUUGAAUUGUGUUUAAUUCUGGGCCUUGGGUUUGGAUGUGGGUUUAAUUAAAUUUUUUUUUGGGUUUGGCUAUUAAGUUUGAGGUCUUAUUGGGCCCGGGCUAAAUUGGGCUUGUAUAGUGAUAGUAAAAUAAAAUAAAAUAGCUAUGUGGGUAAAAAAUGAAAUGAUGAUAUUAGAAUAAUAAAUAAAAAUAUAUAUAUAUAUAAAAACCAUGCUAGUAAAUAAUAAUGCAACUAUAAUAGUAAUAAGAACAUCAAUUCAUAAUAAUAAUAGCAAUAGUCAUGUCAUAGUUACUACCAUAAUACCAAUAUAAAUAAUAAAAAAAUAAUAAGAAAGAUAAAAAUAAAAAUGCAUAGUAAAAAAGAAAUAUAAAUAACAUAAAUUUCAAGUGCUAAAAUAAAAGAAACAGUAAGUAAGAGGUGAAAUUAAAUAAACAAUGGACUGAACUGAAAGUGCAAUAAAAUUUAAAGUAUAAAUAAAAAACAAAAACAGAACAUAAAGGAUCAAAUUAAAAUAAAAUAGAAAAGUAUAGGGACUCAAAGUGAAAUUAUCCCAACCCCAUGUCAUCUCCUUAGUUCAACAGUGGGUCAAAGGACCAAUUUGCAAGGAAAUUAAAAUUAUGAGGUAAAAUUUUUAAAAAAUAAAAAAGGAAUAGGAAAAAACUAAAAAGGGGAAUAAAGAGGAAGGACCAAAAAAGCAAUUAGACCCUCCCCUUGAAAACACGCGAAUCCUGGAUGGAUUCGGAUCAAGUCAUCGGGUCGGCCCCAAAACGGCGUCAUUUUGGGACAUUUGGAGCCACUGUGAAAAGAUGUCGUUUUACUAAGCCUAUAUAAAUUAAAAAUAUUUAAAAAUAUCAUUUUAAAACCUGUUUUUUUUUAAUAUUUAAAAGUCACCCCCUCAUCAGGCCAAGGAGCCGUCGCAUGCCCACCACGGUAACCAGUCAUUGGCGACCGUCGCCUUCGGUGGUCAGAAACCCCCAAAAAGAGCCCUUUUGAUCUUUUAAACGCGUAAAACUCGAAUCAUGGCUUAGAACCCCAAAAAAUCGACUAAAAUUCGACCAGAGGCGAAGAGACCUUUCGAUAUCUCCCUUUUCCGAUUGGGGCCUUCGACAAAUCCCAAGUGAUUCGAAGCCCUCUCAAGUUAGAGAAGGAGGCCUUCACAAUAGAGGCGCGGCGAAACAGGUAAAAGAAACUCCUUUUCGUUUUUAUAUUUUUUUUAUAUUUGCUUCAAAAAAAAAAAGAAUAUAAAAGAAC
rnacentral:lncRNA from 1 species